rnacentral:tRNA from 1 species
GGCAGUGUAGCAAAGUGGUAAGGAGCAGGGCUUGUAACCAAAAGGUUGCAGGUUCGAUUCCCCGCUGGAA